AACGCACAUUGCGCCCCUCGGUAUUCCGAAGGGCAUGCCUGUUCGAGCGUCAUUAUGACCACUCAAGCCUGGCUUGGUGUUGGGGUGCGCGGUCUCGCGGCCCUUAAAAUCAGUGGCGGCGCUAUCUGGCUCUAAGCGUAGUAAAUCUCUCUCGCUAUAGGGUCCCGGUGGAUGCUUGCCAGCAACCAACCCCCCUUUCUUAGGUUGACCUCGGAUCAGGUAGGGAUACCCGCUGAACUUAA
rnacentral:misc_RNA from 1 species